UGGUUCUGGCAUCGAUGAAGAACGCAGCGAAAUGCGAUAAGUAAUGCGAAUUGCAGAAUUCAGUGAAUCAUCGAAUCUUUGAACGCACAUUGCGCCCCUUGGUAUUCCGAGGGGCAUGCCUGUUCGAGCGUCAUUACAACCCUCAAGCACUGCUUGGUAUUAGGCCCUGCUGGUUUCAGCAGGCCUUAAAAUCAGUGGCGGCGCCGUCUUGGGCUCUGAGCGUAGUAAAUAUCCUCGCUAUAGGGACCGGGCUGCUCUUGUCAACAACCCUCAACUUCUAAGUUUGACCUCGGAUCAGGUAGGGAUACCCGCUGA
rnacentral:misc_RNA from 1 species